rnacentral:telomerase_RNA from 1 species
GUCCAGCUGCGGGGAGAAAGUGUCGUUCUCUAACCCUAAUGCGAGGGCAAUGCGGGCCCUUUGUUUAAAGUCCCGUUGUCGCGCGAAGCGGGAGCCCUCGCUGUUUUCUUGGCUAACUUUCAGCGAUGGUGAAAGGGCCUAGCAAAGGUUGGGAAGCGUGAUUUAUUGUUGGUGGGCAGAGAGAAAAAAGUUUCAGCCGCGGCCUCCUCCCCGGCGGCCCAGGACCCCCUGUUGCAACGUGCGAAAUGGCGGCCUCGGCCCCCACCUUUGCUCGCAUGCCCAGCCGAGUAGGCCGCGGUCAGCGCCGGCUUCCACGCCAGUGUGGGGCUUGAUGCUGUCGCGAAGAGUUCGUCUCUGUCAGCCUGGCAGGGGGUGCUACGCAGGGUCGGGGUACGGGGGACAGGGAGAUUAAAUAGCUUGACCAGACGCUAUAACCUGUACUGCAUCUCCCAGAGCUGUGGGACCUGCAAAUCUGCGCUGGUCAUACAUUU